CCUUCCCUAACUCUGCUGAGUCACCAUUCUCCUUUCUUCAUUCUGGGAAGUCGCUGUCCACAGAGUCACCCAGUUCAGCUCACACUCAGGUCUCAGUAUGGGGAGACUGAGCUCCACUCUCUGAUGGAAGGCGUACCAGGAGUGUGGGGCCCUGUGGAAACCAUCCCAGUACUGUUUAAGUAUUUGGAGGAGUUGCUUGGGGCUAUGUGUUUUCUUUCUACCUCUAUCUCCACUCUGAACUCUUGAGACAGAACAUUGAUUUGGGAUGUUUGCAGCUCUUCUUGGGGGGUACAUGGAUGUGUGUGAUGUGUGCUGACUUAAGCUGAGGGGACCCACCAUAUGAUUGCGUAUGGAAGUUGGAGCCCCCUCUUCAUCAUGGAAUUUGGGGCAUCCCUGGUCUCCUGGUGGCUGUGGACUUGCAAAUACCCAGUUGUCCACAGACCUGUUGGCAAAUGGAUGUCCCAAGCGAGGGAGAUAUGCCUGGUGGGAAGGAGGAGUCCUGUGAAGAAUAGAGCCAGCUAAACACAGCAGAGAAGCAACAGAUGACAAAAAGCAACUGUCCAGAAGGCUGGCAGAACUGGGUUUGGGCCCAUGCUACGCAAUCCAGACAUGCCUGUAGCAUCCUUUGAAGGGACUCAAGUCUGUAGGCGAAAGUUUAUUCAAAGGCUUCUAUUAAAUCGUUGAAGGAAAUAAAAAGAAAACUGACAAU
rnacentral:lncRNA from 10 species